UACGUAGGGUGCGAGCGUUGUCCGGAAUUAUUGGGCGUAAAGGGCUCGUAGGCGGUUUGUCGCGUCGGGAGUGAAAACCUCGGGCUUAACUCGGGGCUUGCUUUCGAUACGGGCAGACUGGAGGUAUGCAGGGGAGAACGGAAUUCCUGGUGUAGCGGUGAAAUGCGCAGAUAUCAGGAGGAACACCGGUGGCGAAGGCGACUUUCUGGACGGUUCCUGACGCUGAGGCGCGAAAGCUAGGGGAGCAAACAGG
rnacentral:rRNA from 1 species